UGGGAGUCAGAAUGUGGGUGAUAAGGUCCAUAUUCGAAAGGGAAACAGCCCAGACCACCAGCUAAGGUCCCAAAAUAUAUGUUAAGUGGAAAAGGAUGUGGCGUUGCCCAGACAACUAGGAUGUUGGCUUAGAAGCAGCCAUCAUUUAAAGAGUGCGUAAUAGCUCACUAGUCGAGUGACACUGCGCCGAAAAUGUACCGGGGCUAAACAUAUUACCGAAGCUGUGGAUUGUCCUUUGGACAAUGGUAGGAGAGCGUUCUAAGGGCGUUGAAGCAUGAUCGCAAGGACAUGUGGAGCGCUUAGAAGUGAGAAUGCCGGUGUGAGUAGCGAAAGACGGG
rnacentral:rRNA from 1 species